ACUUUUUUAGUAUAAAUAAUAUAUUUGACUUCCAAUCAAAAGAUCUUUUAACAAGAAAAAGUA
rnacentral:tRNA from 1 species